AUUGAACGCUGGCGGCAGGCCUAACACAUGCAAGUCGAACGUGUGGCGGACGGGUGAGUAAGGUCUGGGACACUGCCUGAUGGAGGGGGAUAACUACUGGAAACGGUAGCUACUACCGCAUACCAGCAGAUCUGCCCAGAUGGGUUUAGCUUGUUGGUGGGGUAACGGCUCACCAAGGCGACGCUCCCUAGCUGGUCUGAGAGGAUGACACGCAACACUGUAACUGAGACAGGGUCCAGACGCCGACGGGAGGCAGCAGUGGGAAAUAUUUCACAAUGGGCGCAAACAUGAGGCAGCCAUGCCGCGUGUAUGAAGAAGGCCUGCGGUUUUGAAAGUACUUUCAGCGGGGAGGCGUUACCCGCAGAGGAAGCCCCGGCUAACUCCGUGCCAGCAGCCGCGGUAAUAC
rnacentral:rRNA from 1 species